GAUGAACGCUGGCGGCGUGCCUAAUACAUGCAAGUCGAGCGAACAGACGAGGAGCUUGCUCCUCUGACGUUAGCGGCGGACGGGUGAGUAACACGUGGAUAACCUACCUAUAAGACUGGGAUAACUUCGGGAAACCGGAGCUAAUACCGGAUAAUAUAUUGAACCGCAUGGUUCAAUAGUGAAAGACGGUUUUGCUGUCACUUAUAGCUGGAUCCGCGCCGCAUUAGCUAGUUGUUAAGGUAACGGCUUACCAAGGCAACGAUGCGUAGCCGACCUGAGAGGGGGAUCGGCCACACGGGAACUGAGAACCGGUCCAGACUCCUACGGGAGGCAGCAGUAGGGAAUAUUCAGCAAUGGGCGAAAGAUUGACGGAGAAAAGACGCGUGAGUGAUGAAGGCCUUCGGAUCGUAAAACUCUGUUAUUAGGGAAGAAAAAAUGUGGAAGUAACUAUGCACGUCUUGACGGUACCUAAUCAAAAAGCAACGGCUAACUACGUG
rnacentral:rRNA from 1 species